UGAAAUUUCAAACUUCGAAAAGUUGCAGUGAGGUAAUGGAUUAUGUCAGUGUUGAUUUCACGAACACCGCCAUUGGAAGCAACCAUCUUCCCUUCCGUUGUUCUCCGUCGUUAUAUAAGACGCCAUUGCCCUCUUACUCACAACCCAAAUCCGCCCCCAAAUCCUUGAUUUCACAAUGGCCUCUGGGGAUGAGAAGUAUCGUUCGCUUUUGCUUGGAGAUGAAGAGAAGAACACCAAAUGGAGAUUUGGGGUUCCUCCUAACUACGAUGUUGUCAACAAGCUCUUCGAAGAAGAGCGGACUAAUGUAUGGCCUGUUGGAUCACUUGAAGAGAGAGUGCAAAGCCUGGUGAAGAAUUUUGAGAUGGAACUGUUCCAUAAGAUAUCAAGCACUGAUUUCAGAACAUUAGAUUUAAACAACUUUACUUUCUGUCUCAAUGGAAGAAAGCCUUUAAGUAUUGAAGAAACAAGUAAACUUGGAGGUUACAAUCCCUUCCUUCAGACCUCCCUCCCUGAGGAGUAUAGGUACUAUAAUGCUGCAAAGGAGACUGCUGCAUCUUCUCAUCAAGCUUUCACCGCUACGUUCCCUCGAGGUUUUGCUCUCGAGAUUAUCCAAGUUUAUUCAGGGCCUCCUGAUAUUGUGUUCAAGUUUAGGCAUUGGGGACACAUGGAGGGAGCUUUUAAAAGCCAUGCCCCCACUGGGGAGAGAAUUGAAUUCUUUGGAGUUGCCAUUUUUAAGGUGAAUGAGAAUGAUAUAAUUUUGGGGGUGGAGUUCUUUUUUGACCCAGGGGAAUUGCUUGGGAAACUCAUGAAAGGUCCUCGCUUGGAUGGCUCGGUUGAAAAGGCGGUUUCGAGCUGCCCUAUCUUGAGAAACACAGGGUGAAUGAAUGAAGCUACCUUGUCAGCCACAGAAACGCUCUGCUACAGCUGUUCUCAAGACAAGCAGAAAUUGAGAGGUACCAAGAAAUUGAAGGAUCAAAUGGCAAACAGAGAGGAAAGGCUUGGUGGGUAUGUCAGAAGCGGCAUGAUCAACAGGUUUGAACUGAGACAACACUGAAAGCUCUGCAGUUGCAGACCUCAUUUCAGAAAAUUCCCCAACAGGCUAAAGCUCUGGGCUGAGCUCUCUGACUUUUAAGAUUAAUAAAUCUCAUGGCUUCCGGUUCAUCAAAUACCGUGAGAUUUCACAUCAGUUGGGAAAGAGAACGAAACACUCUUUACAAGGAUGUGUAAACCUCUCCCCAGUAGACCUGUUUUAAAAACCUU